rnacentral:rRNA from 1 species
ACCGGCGCACGGGUGAGUAACACGUAUGCAACCUGCCUGCCACAGCCGGAUAAUCGGGAGAAAUUCCGUCUAAUACGGCAUAAUGCAUCGACGGGACAUCCUGUUGGUGCCAAAGGUUAAUUCCGGUGGCGGAUGGGCAUGCGUCGCAUUAGUUAGUUGGCGGUGUAACGGACCACCAAGACGACGAUGCGUAGGGGUUCUGAGAGGAAGGUCCCCCACACUGGUACUGAGACGCGGACCAGACUCCUACGGGAGGCAGCAGUGAGGAAUAUUGGUCAAUGGGCGGGAGCCUGAACCAGCCAAGUCGCGUGAGGGAUGACGGUCCUAUGGGUUGUAAACCUCUUUUGCCGGGGAGCAAAGUGCCGCACGUGUGCGGUUUGGAGAGUACCCGGAGAAAAAGCAUCGGCUAACUCCGUGCCAGCAGCCGCGGUAAUACGGAGGAUGCGAGCGUUAUCCGGAUUUAUUGGGUUUAAAGGGUGCGUAGGCGGAUUAGUAAGUCAGCGGUAAAAAUGCGGUGCUCAACGCCGUAUCGCCGUUGAAACUGCGGGUCUUGAGUGAGCGAGAAGUAUGCGGAAUGCGUGGUGUAGCGGUGAAAUGCAUAGAUAUUAGGAGGAACACCAGUGGCGAAGGCGGCUUACUGGACUGUAACUGACACUGAGGCUCGAAAGCGUGAGGAGCAAACAGGAUUAGAUACCCUGGUA